rnacentral:rRNA from 2 species
ACACAACUCCUGCCGAUGGAUAUCUUGGCUCUCGCAACGAUGAAGAACGCAGCGAAAUGCGAUACGUAGUGCGAAUUGCAGAAUUCAGUGAAUCAUCGAAACUUUGAACGCAAAUGGCGCUUCGCGGUUCCGCCGGGAAGCAUGUCUCUUCGAGUGGCGUCA